rnacentral:rRNA from 1 species
UGCAAGUCGAACGAUGAACCACUUCGGUGGGGAUUAGUGGCGAACGGGUGAGUAACACGUGGGCAAUCUGCCCUGCACUCUGGGACAAGCCCUGGAAACGGGGUCUAAUACCGGAUACUGACCUGCCUGGGCAUCCAGGCGGUUCGAAAGCUCCGGCGGUGCAGGAUGAGCCCGCGGCCUAUCAGCUUGUUGGUGAGGUAAUGGCUCACCAAGGCGACGACGGGUAGCCGGCCUGAGAGGGCGACCGGCCACACUGGGACUGAGACACGGCCCAGACUCCUACGGGAGGCAGCAGUGGGGAAUAUUGCACAAUGGGCGCAAGCCUGAUGCAGCGACGCCGCGUGAGGGAUGACGGCCUUCGGGUUGUAAACCUCUUUCAGCAGGGAAGAAGCGAAAGUGACGGUACCUGCAGAAGAAGCGCCGGCUAACUACGUGCCAGCAGCCGCGGUAAUACGUAGGGCGCAAGCGUUGUCCGGAAUUAUUGGGCGUAAAGAGCUCGUAGGCGGCUUGUCACGUCGGUUGUGAAAGCCCGGGGCUUAACCCCGGGUCUGCAGUCGAUACGGGCAGGCUAGAGUUCGGUAGGGGAGAUCGGAAUUCCUGGUGUAGCGGUGAAAUGCGCAGAUAUCAGGAGGAACACCGGUGGCGAAGGCGGAUCUCUGGGCCGAUACUGACGCUGAGGAGCGAAAGCGUGGGGAGCGAACAGGAUUAGAUACCCUGGUAGUCCACGCCGUAAACGGUGGGCACUAGGUGUGGGCAACAUUUCCAC